AAAUACAUCUAAAGUGGUGAAAGGGCAAAUCCAGGUACCUACUAGUGAUAGCAAACAACGGAACACUUAAAGGGCGGUUCGGUACAUGUGAAGCUUUAUAGCUAGCAACAGAACACUUACACGGCACUUCGGUACACUUUUACAAUUAUGGCUUACUUUUGCACGUAUGUCUUAGAAUGGAAUAAUUUUAGAGGGGCUCGGUACAUCUGUCAUAUUGAAGGACAUAUCCAAAUACCAGAGAUCGAUAACUCCAUCUUAGAAAAAAUAAGCUCCAGCUAUAGCUUAACUGUGGUGUAUAGAGUGGUGUAUGCCACACCCCUAUAUCUAGUAGUGAUAUGACCACUUUUAUAGUGAGACCUGAUUUUUCAUAUUAUAGCCAGAAAUGGAAUACUUAUAAGGCUAUUCGGUACACACUAAGGCUUGGUUGGAACACCCAUAUAUCUGCUAGUGCUAAGUAAGUGUUAUAAGAAAAGGCUCUAACCAUAAUUCUACCAAGGUGCAUCUACAGUGGUGUAGGUCACACCUAUAUAUCUAAUAGUUAUAUCACCACUUUUAUAUUGGAGACCUGAUAUUUCACAUUAUAGCCAUACAUGGAACACUUAUAUCAUGUUUACGGUACACUUUUAACCUCGGGUGGAACACCCAUAUAUCUGACAGUGCUAAGUAAGUGGUAUAAGAUAAGGCUCUAACCAUAACUUUACCAAGGUGCAUCUAUAGUGGUGUAGGCCACACCCAUAUAUCUAGUAGUCAUAUGACCACUUUAUAGUGGUGACAUGAUAUUUCACAUUAAAGCCGUAGACGGAACACUUAUAGCGCUAUUCGGUACACUUUUAUCCUUGAGUGGAACACCCUUAUAUCUGACAGUGCUAAGUAAGAGGUAUAAAAAAAGUUAAUUAUAAUCAAGUAUAACUAUUCUAUUUGAAUGUAGGAAAGUGAUUUUCCAUUGUACGUUUUGUUGAAAUAUCUACAUUACUCAAAACCUAUUUCUAUGUUAUAAAACAGGAAUGACAGAUA
rnacentral:lncRNA from 1 species